rnacentral:rRNA from 1 species
UCGACUAAGCCAUGCAAGUCUUGAUAUUCUUCGAAUGUUAGGGCAGAAAGCUCAGUAACAAGUAGUUAACAUGCCCUCAAGUCAGGGAUAAUUUCGGGAAACUGAAGCUAAUACCUGAUAGGUAAAAGAUACUGGAAUGUUCUUUUAUCCAAAGCCUCGGCGCUUGAGGAUUGGACUGCUCCGGAUUAGGUUGUUGUUAGGGUAACGUCCUGGCAAGCCGAUAAUCCGUACGAGCCUUGAGAGAGGAAGCUCGGAGAUGGAUUCUGAGACAAGAAUCCAGGCCCUACGGGGCGCAGCAGGCGCGAAAAUUUCCCAAUGCACGCAAGUGUGAGGAAGGGAUCUGGAGUGCUUUCUCCUCUUUAGGGGGAAGCUUUUGUGGAGUGUAAACAGCUCCAAGAAUAAGUGGUGGGUAAGACGGGUGCCAGCCGCCGCGGUAAUACCCGCGCCACAAGUGGUGACCACGUUUAUUGGGCUUAAAGCGUUCGUAGCCGGUUCAGAAAGUCUUUAGUGAAAUCCCGCAGCUAACUGUGGGGCUUGCUAGGGAAACUACUGAACUUGGGACCGGGAGAGGUCUGGGGUACUCAAGGGGUAGGGGUAAAAUCCUGUAAUCCUUUGGGGACCACCGGUGGCGAAGGCGCCAGACCAGAACGGAUCCGACGGUGAGGGACGAAAGCUAGGGGAGCAAAGGGGAUUAGAUACCCCCGUAGUCCUAGCUGUAAACGAUGCCCACUAGACAUUGGCAAUCUCACGGGGGUUGUCAGUGCCGUAGCGAAAGCGUUAAGUGGGCCGCCUGGGGAGUACGGUCGCAAGGCUGAAAUGGAAGGAGUCUGAUUCAUAUCAUGAUUUCAACCCUUACUUGCGACAGUUAUCUCAAACGGAAUUUUGUUAAGGGAAACUAAGUAGUAUUAGAACGAUCUGUUAGAUCACUCUUUCAGACUUCUUCUACAGCAAACUUAAGGGAAUUGGCGGGGGAGCACACAAG